CUUUGGUACAUUGAUAUUUUACCCUGAAAAGCACAUGAUCCAUUUCAAGGAAGUAGGAAUCUGAUUUAACUAUUCUAAUGGUUACAUGACAGAGAAUGUGACAACUUCCAAAAAGAGCUUCAUAGAAACCUGAUAAUAUGGAGAGUUACUAGAGGAUUAGAAGAUGUGGAAAACACUGUCACCUCUGAAAUACCUUAGCUGUGUCUUCAUGUGUAAAUAUAAAAAAUAAUACCUAUUUCAUUGCAUUACUAUGAGGAAUCAAUGAAGUUACAAUAAAAAAGUUAAGAGAC